rnacentral:rRNA from 1 species
CACGUAGGGUGCGAGCGUUGUCCGGAAUUAUUGGGCGUAAAGAGCUCGUAGGCGGUGUGUCACGUCGGCCGUGAAAACCUGCAGCUUAACUGUGGGCGUGCGGUCGAUACGGGCAUCACUGGAGUUCGGCAGGGGAGACUGGAAUUCCUGGUGUAGCGGUGAAAUGGCGCAGAUAUCAGGAGGAACACCGAUGGCGAAGGCAGGUCUCUGGGCCGAUACUGACGCUGAGGAGCGAAAGCGUGGGGAGCGAACAGG